ACCGAGAUUCCCCCAGUAGCGGCGAGCGAACGGGGAGGAGCCCAGAGCCUGAAUCAGCAUGUGUGUUAGUGGAAGCGUCUGGAAAGGCGCGCGAUACAGGGUGACAGCCCCGUACACAAAAGCGCAUGUGCUGUGAGCUCGAUGAGUAGGGCGGGACACGUGGUAUCCUGUCUGAAUAUGGGGGGACCAUCCUCCAAGGCUAAAUACUCCUGACUGACCGAUAGUGAACCAGUACCGUGAGGGAAAGGCGAAAAGAACCCCGGCGAGGGGAGUGAAAAAGAACCUGAAACCGUGUACGUACAAGCAGUGGGAGCACAGGUUUACCUGUGUGACUGCGUACCUUUUGUAUAAUGGGUCAGCGACUUAUAUUCUGUAGCAAGGUUAACCGAAUAGGGGAGCCGGAGGGAAACCGAGUCUUAAUUGGGCGUUAAGUUGCAGGGUAUAGACCCGAAACCCGGUGAUCUAGCCAUGGGCAGGUUGAAGGUUGGGUAACACUAACUGGAGGACCGAACCGACUAAUGUUGAAAAAUUAGCGGAUGACCUGUGGCUGGGGGUGAAAGGCCAAUCAAACCGGGAGAUAGCUGGUUCUCCCCGAAAGCUAUUUAGGUAGCGCCUCGUGAAUUCAUCUCCGGGGGUAGAGCACUGUUUCGGCUAGGGGGCCAUCCCGGCUUACCAACCCGAUGCAAACUGCGAAUACCGGAGAAUGUUAUCACGGGAGACACACGGCGGGUGCUAACGUCCGUCGUGAAGAGGGAAACAACCCAGACCGCCAGCUAAGGUCCCAAAGUCAUGGUUAAGUGGGAAACGAUGUGGGAAGGCCCAGACAGCCAGGAUGUUGGCUUAGAAGCAGCCAUCAUUUAAAGAAAGCGUAAUAGCUCACUGGUCGAGUCGGCCUGCGCGGAAGAUGUAACGGGGCUAAACCAU
rnacentral:rRNA from 1 species